rnacentral:rRNA from 1 species
UACGUAGGGUGCAAGCGUUGUCCGGAAUUAUUGGGCGUAAAGAGCGUGUAGGCGGCUUGGUAGGUCCGCUGUGAAAACUCGAGGCUCAACCUCGAGAUGUCGGCGGAAACCACUUGGCUAGAGUCCGGAAGAGGAGAGUGGAAUUCCUGGUGUAGCGGUGAAAUGCGCAGAUAUCAGGAAGAACACCUAUGGCGAAGGCAGCUCUCUGGGACGGUACUGACGCUGAGACGCGAAAGCGUGGGGAGCGAACAGG